rnacentral:rRNA from 1 species
UGGGGAAUUUUGGACAAUGGGCGAAAGCCUGAUCCAGCAAUGCCGCGUGUGUGAAGAAGGCCUUCGGGUUGUAAAGCACUUUUGUCCGGAAAGAAAUCCUUGGCUCUAAUACAGUCGGGGGAUGACGGUACCGGAAGAAUAAGCACCGGCUAACUACGUGCCAGCAGCCGCGGUAAUACGUAGGGUGCAAGCGUUAAUCGGAAUUACUGGGCGUAAAGCGUGCGCAGGCGGUUUGCUAAGACCGAUGUGAAAUCCCCGGGCUCAACCUGGGAACUGCAUUGGUGACUGGCAGGCUAGAGUAUGGCAGAGGGGGGUUAGAAUUCCACGUGUAGCAGUGAAAUGCGUAGAGAUGUGGAGGAAUACCGAUGGCGAAGGCAGCCCCCUGGGCCAAAUACUGACGCUCAUGCACGAAAGCGUGGGGGAGCAAAACAGGAUUAGAUACCCUGGUAGUCCACGCCCUAAAACGAUGUCAACUAGUUGUUGGGGAUUCAUUUUCCUUAGUAACGUAGCUAACGCGUGAAGUUGACCGCCUGGGGGAGUACGGUCGCAAGAUUAAAACUUAAAUGAAUUGACGGGGUCAUAGCUGUUUCCU